UGCAAGUCGAACGGCAGCACGGACUUCGGUCUGGUGGCGAGUGGCGAACGGGUGAGUAAUGCAUCGGAACGUGCCAUUGAGUGGGGGAUAACGUAGCGAAAGUUGCGCUAAUACCGCAUAUUCUGUGAGCAGGAAAGCAGGGGACCGCAAGGCCUUGCGCUCUUUGAGCGGCCGAUGUCAGAUUAGCUAGUUGGUGAGGUAAAGGCUUACCAAGGCACGAUCUGUAGCGGGUCUGAGAGGAUGAUCCGCCACACUGGAACUGAGACACGGUCCAGACUCCUACGGGAGGCAGCAGUGGGGAAUUUUGGACAAUGGGGGCAACCCUGAUCCAGCCAUGCCGCGUGAGUGAAGAAGGCCUUCGUGUUGUAAAGCUCUUUCGGCCGGGAAGAAAUCGCAUGGGCCAAUACCCUGUGUGGAUGACGGUACCGGAAUAAGAAGCACCGGCUAACUACGUGCCAGCAGCCGCGGUAAUACGUAGGGUGCGAGCGUUAAUCGGAAUUACUGGGCGUAAAGCGUGCGCAGGCGGUUUUGUAAGACAGGCGUGAAAUCCCCGGGCUUAACCUGGGAACUGCGUUUGUGACUGCAAGGCUAGAGUACGGCAGAGGGGGGUGGAAUUCCACGUGUAGCAGUGAAAUGCGUAGAGAUGUGGAGGAACACCAAUGGCGAAGGCAGCCCCCUGGGUCGAUACUGACGCUCAUGCACGAAAGCGUGGGUAGCAAACAGGAUUAGAUACCCUGGUAGUCCACGCCCUAAACUAUGUCAACUAGGUGUUGGGUGGGUAAAACCAUUUAGUACCGUAGCUAACGCGUGAAGUUGACCGCCUGGGGAGUACGGCCGCAAGGUUAAAACUCAAAGGAAUUGACGGGGACCCGCACAAGCGGUGGACGAUGUGGAUUAAUUCGAUGCAACGCGAAGAACCUUACCCAGGCUGGACAUGCAGGUAGUAGAAGGGUGAAAGCCCAACGAGGUAGAAAUACCAUCCUGCUCAGGUGCUGCAUGGCUGUCGUCAGCUCGUGCCGUGAGGUGUUGGGUUAAGUCCCGCAACGAGCGCAACCCCUGUCUUCAGUUACUAACAGGUCAAGCUGAGAACUCUGGAGAGACUGCCCAGGAGAACGGGGAGGAAGGUGGGGAUGACGUCAAGUCAGCAUGGCCUUUAUGCCUGGGGCUACACACGUGCUACAAUGGCCGGUACAAAGGGCUGCAAACCCGCAAGGGGGAGCCAAUCCCAAAAAACCGGCCUCAGUUCAGAUUGGGGUCUGCAACUCGACCCCAUGAAGGCGGAAUCGCUAGUAAUCGCGGAUCAGAACGCCGCGGUGAAUACGUUCCCGGGCCUUGUACACACCGCCCGUCACACCACGAAAGUUUGUUGUACCUGAAGUCGUUGCGCCAACCGCAAGGAGGCAGGCGCCCACGGUAUGACCGAUGAUUGGGGUGAAGUCGUAACAAGGUA
rnacentral:rRNA from 1 species